GGGGACCGAGCGAGGGCUGGCUUUGUUUCUUCCCCAGCAGGAGGACUCUGCUUGGGGCCGCCCUGCAGGAUGAGCAGCUCCCGCACCGCCAGGGGCUGAUAGACACGGUCCAGGACGUGCUGGAGGGCCUCCCGGCUCUGUGCCCGCUCCGCUUCUGAAAGGCCCUGGAAGAACACAAACCCUGAAGUGGUGAGGGCAGCCCAGCUGUGAACACUGCACCUCCACACGCCCGGCACCCAGCUCCCGCACUGUAUGUGCAACGGUGCUUUAAGCUGUUCUCUCACACUGAGACGCACACGCGGCUCAGAAGCAGCUGCCAGGAGCAGCACUGCACGGGGACUCCGGGCAGCCCCAAAGCCCGGCUGCUGCAGAACCAGAGCCCCAGGCCCACGGGGACACACCCGCGCAAAGGGGCGGAAGGACGGGGACCACCGACCUCGCAGUGCACGGCGGGGCCGUGGCCCAGCAGGCAGAGGCCGGCGAGGAGCAGACCGAGGUGCUGCGCGAGCAGCGGGACGCCGAGCGCGGGGUGCUGGGCCAGCUCCACCAGCGCGGCGGUGGCGGCACGGAGCCGGGCCCCGCGGGCGACCCCCGGCAACGGCGGCGGUGCGGGGAGCCCCGGGCGCUGCCCCACGCCCGGCGGCAGGUACGGGACCAGCCCCAGCCCCACCGCGGCCCGCAGCGCCCGCCGCACCGUCCGGCCCUGCGCCGCGCUCAGCGUGUCGGCGGCGGGCGGGGGGCGGCCCCGGGAGCGGCCGCGGGGGCGGUAGGGGCGGCGGACAGCGCCGCGAGCCGCUCCUUCAGGCACAGCAGCAGCGCCAGCACCGCGCAGGCCGCGGCCCACCCCGGCUCGGCCACGUCCUCCGCCCCGGCUGCCAGCGCGGGGGCCCGGCCCAGCACGGCGGCCCGCAAGCCGCGCAGCGCGGCCCAGCACGGCUCCCCCCGCAGCCGCUCCUCCAACGCCGCCGCGUUGCCGCGCAGCGCCUCCAGCCGCAGGGGAGCGCCGUCCGGGCCGGGCCCCUCGGGCCGCCCCAGCAGCAGCUCCAGCGCCUCCACCACCCGCCCCGGCUCCACCGCGCCGCCCGCCAUCUUGGAGCCGCCGCCAAGGGGCGGGGCGAGGCCCGCCGCCGCCAUCUUGGGGAGGUCGGGCGGAGGGGCGGGGCCGUGCCGCACGCCGCCAUCUUGGAGGGCAACGAGAGGGAGAGAGGCGUCGCCCGCCGCCAUCUUGGGCAGGUCGGGGUGGGCGGCGCCAUCUUGGGCCCCGGCUGCCCCCCGCUAUCCACGUGCAGCCCCCCGCAGCGCGGGUAUCGCUGCCGCUCGCGGUUUGCUGCAGAGAAGCAGGUUGCGCACAGGACACCGCCAUCCCCAGCCCUACACAGCGUCCUCUUGCCUAGCCCAGGCCCGCCCUGAGGCCCAGGUGGGGCAGGCAGCUCCGUGUCUGUCCCUGCUUUCCAGUCCCGUGCUGCGCAGCUCCAAUAGCGCCCGGCACGGCGGCAAAGCGGGGGUUUCAGGAAGGCUCCCACCUGCCGGCUGUUACCGCCCGCGGGCACGGGGAGCAAUAACACACAGCGCAGCCGCCCCACCUCGGCAGCAGCCUCGUUGUGAUCAGCGUGUGGAGGAGGACUGCGAGGUGAGGAGCGUUCCCAGGGCUGCAGCCGAACUCCCACCGCCUUUGGAGCAAACAGAUAAGGCGUGCAGCGCAGGGCACGCGGUUCAGCACCUGCCCGGCUGAGGGUCACCAGGAUGGCUGAAGGCAUACAGGCGCUGUGAGGCACGGUGUGCCGCUUUGUGUUUCCUCGCAGGGCGGCGAGCGGAGCCGUUCCAGGCUCGGGCAACCAGCGGUGAUGGCAGCCUUCCCUGUGCUGCAGCACAGGGUCAGUGGGGCAGAGCGUUACGCACAGAGCGCAUCUCCCGUGAUAAGGCUCUUUGGUGCCUGUCCAGAUUUCACACAGUCUGCUGCUCCUCCCUUCCGUAGGGCCUGCCCAGGCAGCAGAGUAAAACCUUGGCUGCUGUUAGAUACGGCUGUGCUUCUCCUCAGCCCCCGGUGCUGGGAAAACGCGUGCCAUGAUAGGAAUCCGGCCCUUCAGCGGAGCUGCUGUAAGGAGCAGGGCUGCAGAAAGCAGCUCGUUUCUCUUGGGGUCUUUGGAGGCAGCAGCAGCCACAACAGCUCCAAGGAAGCACCACGGCUGGCAGAGGCAAUCGCCGGCCUUCCAGCGUGCAUCAGGCCCUUUUCCCAUAUUAACAAUACAAAACAACAGCUAGACACGGAGUUCAGAGUUUAAGUAAAGCCACUUGAUUUCAGGAAGCACCUCUCAUUAACAGAACGAUAACUACAAACAACGCAGCUGGAAAUAACAUCGUCACCUGUUAUACAAAAAAUAGAAAUCUGCCCGUGAGUACUGUAUCAAAUAUAAUUCUCUGGUGUGUCAUGCAGAGGGAAUGGCACGUCGUUGGUCUGCGGGAGCGAUCGCCCACCCGUGUUGCACACGCACGAGCAGCUCCACACAAAGGCCAUCCCAGACCCUGAGCGUGGCGCCGAUGGCGGGGCUGGGAGCACGAGGUAUUAUGGAGGGUGCCGGAGAAACCCCUUCCUCUGUAGCAAAGGGAGAGAGGCGGUGGGGGCCUCUUUCCUUGCAGGGGGAGAGAUGCUGAGCGCCGGCCGUGCUGUGGGGGCUGUGGGAUUCGGGCACUGGGAGCUGACCCAGGAGCACCGCGCCUCCAGCCUGUUCCCAAGGAGCCCGAAUGGGACUGUGCCCUGUGUGGGGCUGAGGGGGCAGGAAAAGCGUGGGCUCCCCAAAAGCCUCCAGCCCUGGUGACCCUGAGCUUUCCCUGCACCAAAGGGGAGGGAUGCGAGUGGUGGAUCCAACGCUGUUGGAGGGGGCUUUAGCUGCAAACCCAGUGCAUGUCCGAGGGGGUGAAAUGGCAAGAGCCACGUGGCGGGCCAGCCAAGGGGACGAGGGCUGCCUAUUCAUCAUCCUCCCCGCCGCCAUAGAGCUCCGCCAGCUUCUUGAAGCGGUUGCCCCACUCGUUGAGGUAGUCGUAGUCCUGGUCCUGGUCGGAGGCGGAGGAGUUGAGGGAGCUGAGCGAGGUGGCCUCCGAGCCGCCGCCCUCGUAGUCGAACACCAGGAGCGAGUCGUAGGGGGGGGCCGUGGGGUCCGUGUCAGCUGCCUUCAGGUUCUGGGGGGGGGCAGAGGAAGGGCUCACCCACCGCUCCCCCCCGGCCUCAGCCCUACGGGAUGGGGACGCCGUGGGCAGCCCGGCGGCGCCGGCACAGGCAUUUGGG
rnacentral:lncRNA from 1 species